AAGUGCAAGAAGUCAAAUGAAGCCGAAAAAGCACAAUGUGCGUCGCACGGGCAAAUCAGCUGACGCUCAAUGCGCCACUCAAAGCACGUUGAAGUAGACCUGCAGCGAUAUUAUCGUCGUCACAAGCAAACUGUCAUG
rnacentral:lncRNA from 1 species